rnacentral:lncRNA from 1 species
GGUGGUAAGCGGAGCGGCUGCUGGCCGUAGGGUGGAAAUGAGUUCCCAGCAGUUUCCUCGGUUAGGAACCCCUUCCCCUGGGCUUAGCCAGCCACCUUCACAGAUUGCAAGCAGUGGUUCCGCAGGACUGAUAAACCAAGUUGCCACAGGUAAGAUAAGUCACAGCUCUUUUGUAUUGCUUACUGUUUGAAGAAUGUCACUAUCUUCAAAUUAGCAAACUCCUUUUCAUAAUUACUGUCUUAUCGACUUUGAGGAAAGGAUGUGUCAAUACACUUAAAAUAAGGCAUUUCCCUCUCUUUUUUAAAAAAUCAUUUAUGUAUGCUAGGCUAAGUGCAACUUUAGUAAACCAUACUUGUAAGAACCAUUUUUAAAAGUAUUUGUAUGUUAGAUUUAAUUCUCUCUUGGGGUAUAGGUAUGGUGGUGGUGCCCUGAGAAAACCCAGCAGUGAAUGUGAAGAAGUUCUGCUUCUAAGGACCUUCUUAGGACCUUAAGAUUAGGAAAAGAGAGGCAGAGUAUGUGAGAGAGAGUUUUUAAGAGUGUGUUUUUGAGGUCAUGUGUGCUUUGAAAGGUGAGAGGUCAGCCUCAAAUGCGCUUCCUAGGAACUGUCCUUGGUUUUUGAUACAGGGUGGCUCACUGGGACUGGAACUGAGGAAGCUAGGCUGACGAGCACACGAUUGAAUGAGCUGCUGCCCCGGCCCUUGAAAAAGGGUUGCAAAGUAUUUAUAUACUUGGUUUUUAUUUGUAGCAUAUCUUUUGAGUGCUAUAGACUGUGAUUCUCAGUGGUGGGUUGGGCGAUAUUCUAUACUAAUUGGCAAUGUCUAGAGACAGUUGUGAUUGUCACAACUGAAGUACUGGACAUCCUAAAUGCACUAGAUAAACCCCUUCCACCCUCCAAGACUUCUCAAAGCCAGUGAGCAGUUUUCAGACUUUGUCUCCACUCUGUAUUAAGUAUAUAUUGCGAGCUGAAGUGAAGUCACCUUUUCCCCAUCUGUUUCUUGUUUCCUGGUGGCAAGUGCUGCUUUUCACUCACUGCUCAAGCUAAAGGCUGAGGUGUCUCUAGUUGUCAUUGUAUUCUGUCUCUCACUCCACCCCACCACCUUGGCUCACAAUGUAGCUCAGGCUGGCCUCAAGACAGUUCGGGGUCACCUUUGUCCCACCAUGCCUGGCUGGCUUUAUCCACCAGCAAGCUUUUGGGCUCAUUCCUGCUGCUUUGACUAGUUCGUGCUAAUUUAGUUUUUAACUACAGAUUUGUUUGUUACUGUAAGCUACUCUAUGCCUGCUGUGGGACAGUGUGUACUGUUUUUUCUGUGUAAAGUAUUUGUAGUUCUCAGGAUUUCUCCCAUUUUCCCUGUGGCACAGCCUUUCUUCCUGUCCAGGUUUUUCUUCAUUGAGGAUUCAUCCUAGCUGUCAUUUUCUGGAUAUCUGUGCUGACUCUUAUCUUCUACCAUAUUACAGAUCCUGUGUCUCAUGAAGCUAAUGGAUAGCACAUGUUGUAGUCAAUUUCUUGUACAGCCAUCUAAAGUUCUUUAUUUCUUGUUACACAUACUGAACCCCACCUGUAAUCAUAGCACUUGGGUAGUUGAAAAAAGCUCACCAGUUUAAAGAAGUGUAGCUGAAGUUUGGCUACCAAGCAAGUUCAAGGCCAUGGGUUAUGUGAGUGAGACACUCCUUCCCCAAAAAACUUCUGAAAAUAUUUUGCCUUUGGCAAAUGUUCACAAUGGUAAUUUUAAAAGAUGGAGAUAAGAAUAUUGGUUUUUAAAGUGAAGAAAUGAGAGUUUCUUAUGGAAAAAAGAAAGGGAGAUCGGCCUGUGGAGCUUUGCAGUAGGAGUCUUGAUUAGCAUCAAGCCUAAUGACUUCUUUCCUAGACAGUUUUCAUAGUUUGCUCCACGCUCCUCUACUUGCCAGAGUUUAAGACCCAGCUCAAAUCUUAAUGGUGUUUUGAAAUUUUUCAUGAAAAAAAUUACCUCUUCAUUUUUCACAUCAGUAUUUUUGUCUUAGCUUUUCUUUUAUUUUCUUAAAUAAAUCUAAUUUAUUCUCCAAAAAAAUGUGAAGUCUAAGACGAUCCAGUCCAACAUGAUGUAAGAGCUACAUGAUCAUCAGAAAUGCAACCCCCUUCUUUCUGUAGAAGCUGCCAAUGCAACUCACUUACCAGAGUGCUCGCUGAGCAGACUGGUGCUCUGGGUUCCAUCCCUAGCACCACAUAAUGGGAUGUGGUGGUACAUGCUUGUAACAACUCUUAGAAAGCAGGGGCAAGAAGAUCUGGAGUCCAAGAUCAUCCUUGGGUACCCAGCAUCUUCUGGGCUGCCCUGAAGUACAUAAGACCUUAGCACAAUGAAAGAGGAGGCUGGAGGAAGAGAA